rnacentral:lncRNA from 1 species
CAGUGUUUAAUGGUUCAAAAGCUUAAAACCUGUUUGUGUGUCUGUUUGUUUGUGUGUCUGUUUGUGUGUCUGUUUGUUUGUGUGUCUGUUUGUUUGUGUGCAGGAUGCUUUUUCUGCAGCAAUUUGAGGGGACAAUUUCUGAUGAACUGAAGCAUCUGGAAGAAAACACAACAACACUGAACUCCAUCAACUCUCAGAUUCUGAGUUUUUUCCAGAUGGAGAAGCAACGUCUCGGAGGUUUCUGUGAGAACUUGCAGGAAAGGUUAAAGUCUCUAGAUGUUCGCUGGGCAAAUGGGCUGCAAUCCUCUUGAAGAACUAAAUCACUUCUUAUCUUUAAUUACUUAAUUUGUGUUUCCAGUUUGGGAUAAUUUUUUGUUAAGAAAUACAAUAUUGACCAGAAAGCAAAUCCAUACACUGUCCCAUUUGGUUACCAUGGUUAUGCCAUGAAGAGGGUAAGGAGGUCAGAACAAAAACAUGCAUGCUUUCUCAUCAGGAAGAUGACUGAAAGAAAAUGAAAUAAAGAUUCUGACAAAUGAUUGAGAGAUUUAUGCUAAUGACUGUUUUCUUGUUCACUCUGAUCCUAUAAUAUGUUUCAUAACGGCUGCAUGAGGCAGUGAUGUCAUCAGUCAGAUUUAUUAGCAUGUUGAAGUGCCCUGCUGUUCUGGAAAAAAAAACUAUGUUGGGCAAUACUUAAAUGUUCUUUUAUGA